AUUGAACGCUGGCGGCAUGCUUUACACAUGCAAGUCGAACGGUGACAGGUUAAGCUGACGAGUGGCGAACGGGUGAGUAAUGCAUCGGAACGUGCCCGAUCGUGGGGGAUAACGCAGCGAAAGCUGCGCUAAUACCGCAUACGAUCUGAGGAUGAAAGCGGGGAACCGUAAGGCCUCGCGCGAUCGGAGCGGCCGAUGUCAGAUUAGGUAGUUGGUGGGGUAAAGGCCCACCAAGCCGACGAUCUGUAGCUGGUCUGAGAGGACGACCAGCCAAACUGGGACUGAGACACGGCCCAGACUCCUACGGGAGGCAGCAGUGGGGAAUUUUGGACAAUGGGCGAAAGCCUGAUCCAGUAAUGCCGCGUGCAGGAAGAAGGCCUUCGGGUUGUAAACUGCUUUUGUACGGAGCGAAAAGGUCCUUUCUAAUACAAGGGGCUCAUGACGGUACCGUAAGAAUAAGCACCGGCUAACUACGUGCCAGCCGCCGCUGUAA
rnacentral:rRNA from 1 species